rnacentral:SRP_RNA from 1 species
GCCGGAGGACGAACUACAAGGCCACACAGGCCGAGAAAAAAGCUGCGAGGCUGAGAGCGGAAAAGGAGCAGCCCUAAGCAA